AAGUCGUAACAAGGUAUCUGUAGGUGAACCUGCAGAUGGAUCAUUUCGAUGAAAAACCUUUUUUCAGAGGUGUGGCUCGCACCUGUCCAACUAAACUUGAGCUACCUUUUUCAACACGGUUGCAUCGGUCGGCCUGUCAAACAGUGCGACGCAAGGAGAAAAUCCUCGCGUCUGCUGGGCGACGGACAGACAAUUUUAUUGAACACUUUUUGAUGAUCUAGGAUUUGAAGGAGAAAAAGUCAUUUUUACAAAUGAAAUCGACUGGUAAUGCGGUCGUCUAAUUUUAAAAACAACUUUUGGCAACGGAUCUCUUGGUUCUCC
rnacentral:misc_RNA from 1 species